rnacentral:lncRNA from 1 species
CAACAUCCACUACAAGGGCUCAUUAAAAUCCAUAUUGAUGUGUCAGUCAAACUCCAGCAACCUCACUGUGAGCAGUAGUAUCAUCUCAGGUCAAAAGAUCAAUCAUACAACUGUAGUAUCGAGAAAGUCACUAACGAGUGAGUAGACAUCCAUGUGACUUCUCGUGUUGGUCAUGCUCAGUGCUAAUUGUUCUCUAACAACCACCUGCACUCUAGUCCAGUGUCUCUACACUGCAGACUCAAAACCCAUCUAUCCUAAGAAAGUGAUCCAUGCAC